rnacentral:lncRNA from 1 species
AACUCUACAAAUAAAAUAAGUCAUACAAGCAUCAUAUUACAAGCCAGGGGCCUCGAAGGCUCGAAUACAAGAGCUCGAUCAUAGACGAGUCAGCGGAAGCAACAAUAUCUGAGUACAGACAUAAGUUAAACAAGUUUGCCUUAAGAAGGCUAGCACAAACUGGGAUACCGAUCGAAAGAGGCACAGGCCUCCUGCCUGGGAUCCUCCUAACUACUCCUGGUCAUCGUCAGCGGGCUGCACGUAAUAGUAGGCACCUCCUGAGUAGUAGUAGUCGUCAUCAAUGGUGGCGUCUGGCUCCUGGACUCCAACGUCUGGUCGCAGCAAUCGGAUAUAGGAAAUGGGAAAAAAAGAGGAGAAAAACAACCGUGAGUACUCAUCCAAAGUACUCGCAAGCAAGGAGCUAUACUACAUAUGUAUGCAUUGGUAUCAAAUGGAUUAAGGGUAUCAUAUUUGGACUGAACUGCAGAAUGCCGGAAUAAGAGGGGGAUAGCUAGUCCUUUCGAAGACUACGCUUCUGUAACCUCCAUCUUGCAGCAGGAGAAGAGGGUAGCUGGUAAGUUCACCAAGUAGCAUCGCAUAGCAUAAUCCUAACCGAUAAUCCUCCCCUCGUCGCCCUGUGAGGGAGCGAUCACCGGUUGUAUCUGGCACUUGGAAGGGUGUGUUUUAUUAAGUAUCCGGUUCUAGUUGUCAUAAGGUCAAGGUACAACUCCAAGUCGUCCUGUUACCGAAGAUCACGGCUAUUCGAAUAGAUUAACUUCCCUGCAGGGGUGCACCACAUAUCCCAACACACUCGAUCCCAUUUGGCCGGACACACUUUCCUGGGUCAUGCCCGGCCUCAGAAGAUCAACACGUCGCAGCCCUACCUAGGCACAACAGAGAGGUCAGCACGCCGGUCUAAAUCCUAUGGCGCAGCGGUCUGGGCCCAUCGCCCAUUGCACACCUGCACGUUGCGUACGCGGCCGGAAGCAGAACUAGCCCCCUUAAUACAAGAGCAGGCUUACGGUCCAAUCCGGCGCGCGCCACUCAGUCGCUGACGUCAUGAAGGCUUUGGCUGAUACCACGACGUCGAGUGCCCAUAACUGUCCCCGCGUAGAUGGUUAGUGCGUAUAGGCCAGUAGCCAGACUCAGAUCAAAUACCAAGAUCUCGUUAAACGUGUUAAGUAUCCGCGAACACCGCCUAGGGCCGGGCCCACCUCUCUCCUAGGUGGUCUCAACCUGCCCUGUCGCUCCGCCACAAAGUAACAGUCGGGGGCCGUCGGGAACCCAGGCCACCUCUACCGGGAUGGAGCCACCUGCCCCUUCAGCCCUCAACUCCGAACAGUACCACAUGUAAUGUAACUGUGUAAAGUAUAUAGUAUAUGCCCGUGAUCACCUCCCGAAAUGAUCACGGCCCAGUAGUAUAGCAUGGCAGACGGACAAGAGUGUAGGGCCACUGAUGGAACACUAGCAUCCUAUACUAAGUAGUAGGAUAGCAGGUAAUGGUAACAACAGUAGUAGCAAGGACAGGCUAUGCAUCAGGAUAGGAAUAAUGGAAAGCAGUAACAUGCUACACUACUCUAAUGCAAGCAGUAUAGAGAAGAGUAGGCGAUAUCUGGUGAUCAAAGGGGGGGGCUUGCCUGGUUGCUCUGGCAAGAGAGAGUGGUCGUCAACAGCGUAGUCGAUCGGGGCACCAGCAGCUACGUCAGUCUCGUAGUCUAUCGGAGAGAAGAGGGGGAAGAAACAAUGAAUAUAAUGCAAACAGAUGCAUGUCGAUGCAUGACAUGACAAGUAGCGGUGCUAGGGGUGCCCUAACACGGUAUGAGGUGGUACUGGUGAAGGGGGGAAACAUCCGGGAAAAUAUCUCCAGUGUUUUGCGUUUCCGGAUAGAUGAACCAGAGGGGGAAAGUUGCGUGUUCGCUAUGCUAGGGAUGUGUGGUGGACGAACGGGCUGCGUAUCCAGAUUUGUCUCGUCGUUCUGAGCAAUUUUCAUAUAUAAAACUUUUUCAUCAGAAAAUUACGGUUUAUUUUAUUUGAUUUAUUAAAGUUUUAAUUGAUUUUCUAAGACUAUUAUUAUUUCAAAAAAAUAGUAAAUCCUACGGGUACACCAAAGUGUACCCCACAUUAUGCACAUGUGGCUGAUAAAUGGGGCUAGAGGGCCCAGUUGACCAAGUCAACAGGGACUAGUCAACCAAUGAAUAGUAGAAGAGGGUCCGCAUGUCAUUGACUCUAACCUUAGUAGUUUAGGUAAUUUUGCUUAAUUAAUCGCGGGGCCCAUUUGCCAUAGACUCGGUCUUUUUAGACCAACUAAUUAAAGCUAAUCAAUAGAGGGGACCACUUGCCAUUUCUUAUUAUUCUAAUUGAGCACUAAAGUGUUAGUAACUAAGUCUAGACAUACUAAACAAGGGCCGGCCUGGUGGCACAACGUGAGGCUGGUUGUGCACACACGCACACAGCUACACACCACACACGGCCUUGGCCAUGGCCGUGGCCGUGGCCACCAGCAGCAGCAGCAGCCGGCGAUUGCAGGCGGUAGUAGUAGCAGCAAAGCAAUGCUAGCAGCAGCAGCACGCAGCAGAGCAAAGAAGCAACGACGGCAGCGCAAGAGCGGCGGCAGCGGCAAGCAGCGCAGCCGCGGCAUGGGGCAGAGCAGCGAAGCAGCGAGCAGCCACAGCGGUUGGUGAGCAAUAGAAGCCGCGGCGAGGCCGCGCGCGUGCACAGCAGCGGCAGCAACAGCGCAAGAGCAGCAGCAAUACACACGUACGUACAUACGCGUACGCGUGAGCUCCGACGAGCUCGGGGACGGAGGCUACCGCAACGAAUCGAGGGGACAAGCAAGGGGGAAUGGAGGAGGAGCUCACAGAGAGUUCGUGGGCGCGGUCGAGGAAGCCCGGGGUGGACUGGAGCCGUGGGAAUCGUCGAUGGCGGUCGGCGAUGUAUGCGACGGACAACGGCGAUGGCGAGCGUAUGGGGCCUCCCCGGUCAAACCCAACGGCAUAGACGAAGGGGCCGACAGUAGUGAAGCUCCUGGAUGCGUCAGCUUGGCGGGGGAAGACCGGUCGCCGCGAGGACGAGGCGGCGCGGUGGCGAGGCUUCGGGCGAGAGGGCGCGGCGCGAGGAGGAAUGGGGGAGAGGCAGGGGUGUCCUAGGGUUCCUGGGGG